UGCAGAGUUUGAUCAUGGCUCAGGAUGAACGCUGGCGGCGUGCCUAAUACAUGCAAGUCGAGCGAACAGAAGGAGCUUGCUCCUUUGACGUUAGCGGCGGACGGGUGAGUAACACGUGGGUAACCUACCUAUAAGACUGGGAUAACUUCGGGAAACCGGAGCUAAUACCGGAUAAUAUUUCGAACCGCAUGGUUCGAUAGUGAAAGAUGGUUUGCUAUCACUUAUAGAUGGACCGCGCCGUAUUAGCUAGUUGGUAAGGUAACGGCUUACCAAGGCACGAUACGUAGCCGACCUGAGAGGGUGAUCGGCCACACUGGAACUGAGACACGGUCCAGACUCCUACGGGAGGCAGCAGUAGGGAAUCUUCCGCAAUGGGCGAAAGCCUGACGGAGCAACGCCGCGUGAGUGAUGAAGGUCUUCGGAUCGUAAAACUCUGUUAUUAGGGAAGAACAACGUGUAAGUAACUUGCACGUCUUGACGGACCUAAUCAGAAAGCCACGGCUAACUACGUGCCAGCAGCCGCGGUAAUACGUAGGUGGCAAGCGUUAUCCGGAAUUAUUGGGCGUAAAGCGCGCGUAGGCGGUUUUUUAAGUCUGAUGUGAAAGCCCACGGCUCAACCGUGGAGGGUCAUUGGAAACUGAAAACUUGAGUGCAGAAGAGGAAAGUGGAAUUCCAUGUGUAGCGGUGAAAUGCGCAGAGAUAUGGAGGAACACCAGUGGCGAAGGCGACUUUCUGGUCUGUAACUGACGCUGAUGUGCGAAAGCGUGGGGAUCAAACAGGAUUAGAUACCCUGGUAGUCCACGCCGUAAACGAUGAGUGCUAAGUGUUAGGGGGUUUCCGCCCCUUAGUGCUGCAGCUAACGCAUUAAAGCACUCCCGCCCCA
rnacentral:rRNA from 1 species